GCAAACGAAAACUUGUGCUCCCAGUUAAAAAGUAUAGUGUUUGACGUUUGUGAUGUUAUUGUGGUUGAGUUAUUUGAAACAGCUGGAGCUAGCGUGCGCUGCCGCGGUGGGGCCGCCAGGCGGCGCUGUCGACUUCAAAACAAUGUGUAAGUACCUACUGGAACUGGAAACCUCACUGUACUGUAAGUCUAACUACUCUUUUAAACUAUUCCUGUAAUAGCGAUAAGUAAAGCAGCAUA
rnacentral:misc_RNA from 1 species